rnacentral:rRNA from 1 species
UUUGCAAGAUCUUGGGGAGGCUGAUAUUACCAAGCAACAAAAGUUGAGGGAAGCUGAAGUUAGGGUUCAAAAGGCUAAAGAAAAGGCAGCUCUAGAUGAGGCGGCGAGGAGAAGAAGUGUCAGGAACAAACACAAAGAGGAGGUGCAGACUAUGGACAAAGCUACUGACAUGGCGAGGAGGAAGAAUCUGGAGACCCCAGAAAAGAGGGGUGGAAAAAACUCUUAAGGAAGUGACCAAGAGGUUGGCCCAGAUAGCGAGGGACGUCUUCAAGCGUGCUUACGGAUGGGGCCCAGCUGUACGGAGGCUCUGUUGAUCAAGUGUUGACAGAUGCAGCAUUUACGAUUAUCUCUCUUGUUCUUUUGAUAUAGCACCUUGUAGGUGCAGAUUUUGGUAUCUCAGAUGUAGGAGUUUAUUUCCCCUGAUGCAAAAUAUUAGGCAACAUUUGUAGCGAUGAUGCUUUGGAGCGUUCUUCUGUUGUAGCAUCCUGUAGGUGCGGUUGAAGUGCCUCUAGAUGUAUGAGUAGUGUUUCCUGAUGCAGAUGUUAGGCAUCGAAAAAUGUUAAAUUUGUAUGGAACUUGCUUUGUAUGUUGUGACUCCAUUUUCGUAAUGAAAAUGGGGGCCAUGGGGCCCCUCUGAUCGAAAAAAAA